UUCGGGAUCUUGAGAGCGGCGUACGGGUGCGGAACACGUGUGCAACCUGCCUUUAUCAGGGGGAUAGCCUUUCGAAAGGAAGAUUAAUACCCCAUAAUAUAUUGAAUGGCAUCAUUUGAUAUUGAAAACUCCGGUGGAUAGAGAUGGGCACGCGCAAGAUUAGAUAGUUGGUAGGGUAACGGCCUACCAAGUCAGUGAUCUUUAGGGGGCCUGAGAGGGUGAUCCCCCACACUGGUACUGAGACACGGACCAGACUCCUACGGGAGGCAGCAGUGAGGAAUAUUGGACAAUGGGUGAGAGCCUGAUCCAGCCAUCCCGCGUGAAGGACGACGGCCCUAUGGGUUGUAAACUUCUUUUGUAUAGGGAUAAACCUUUCCACGUGUGGAAAGCUGAAGGUACUAUACGAAUAAGCACCGGCUAACUCCGUGCCAGCAGCCGCGGUAAUACGGAGGGUGCAAGCGUUAUCCGGAUUUAUUGGGUUUAAAGGGUCCGUAGGCGGAUCUGUAAGUCAGUGGUGAAAUCUCAUAGCUUAACUAUGAAACUGCCAUUGAUACUGCAGGUCUUGAGUAAAGUAGAAGUGGCUGGAAUAA
rnacentral:rRNA from 1 species